rnacentral:rRNA from 1 species
UGAGCAGCGAACGGGUGAGUAACGCGUGGGGAAUCUGCCUUUGAGCGGGGGACAACAUUUGGAAACGAAUGCUAAUACCGCAUAAAAACUUUAAACACAAGUUUUAAGUUUGAAAGAUGCAAUUGCAUCACUCAAAGAUGAUCCCGCGUUGUAUUAGCUAGUUGGUGAGGUAAAGGCUCACCAAGGCGAUGAUACAUAGCCGACCUGAGAGGGUGAUCGGCCACAUUGGGACUGAGACACGGCCCAA